rnacentral:rRNA from 1 species
GACAGAGGGGGCAAGCGUUGCUCGGAAUUACUGGGCGUAAAGGGCGCGUAGGCGGGUUGGUAAGUCGGUCGUGAAAUCCCUCGGCUCAACCGAGGAACGUCGAUCGAUACUACCGUUCUUGAGGAUUGCAGAGGAGACUGGAAUUCCCGGUGUAGCGGUGAAAUGUGUAGAGAUCGGGAGGAACACCGGUGGCGAAGGCGGGUCUCUGGGCAAUUCCUGACGCUGAGGCGCGAAAGCGUGGGGAGCAAACAGG